rnacentral:rRNA from 1 species
AUUGAACGCUGGCGGCAUGCCUUACACAUGCAAGUCGAACGGUAACAGGUCUUCGGACGCUGACGAGUGGCGAACGGGUGAGUAAUACAUCGGAACGUGCCCAGUCGUGGGGGAUAACUACUCGAAAGAGUAGCUAAUACCGCAUACGAUCUGUGGAUGAAAGCGGGGGACCUUCGGGCCUCGCGCGAUUGGAGCGGCCGAUGGCAGAUUAGGUAGUUGGUGGGAUAAAAGCUUACCAAGCCGACGACCUGUAGCUGGUCUGAGAGGACGACCAGCCAAACUGGGACUGAGACACGGCCCAGACUCCUACGGGAGGCAGCAGUGGGGAAUUUUGGACAAUGGGCGAAAGCCUGAUCCAGCAAUGCCGCGUGCAGGAUGAAGGCCUUCGGGUUGUAAACUGCUUUUGUACGGAACGAAAAAGUCUCCUCUAAUACAGGAGGCCCAUGACGGUACCGUAAGAAUAAGCACCGGCUAACUACGUGCCAGCCGCCGCCGUAA